GGUUAAUUAACUUAAUGAAAAGUAUAUGUUUUGAAAACAUAAUAUAGAAGCUCAGACCUUCUAUUAACUU
rnacentral:tRNA from 1 species